CGGAUCUCUUAAAGCUGUUCUCAGUUCGGACUGCAGUCUGCAACUCGACUGCACGAAGCUGGAAUCGCUAGUAAUCGCGGAUCAGCACGCCGCGGUGAAUACGUUCCCGGGCCUUGUACACACCGCCCGUCACACCAUGGAAGUCUGCAAUGCCCGAAGCCGGUGGCCUAACCACUUAUGUGGAAGGAGCCGUCUAAGGCAGGGCAGAUGACUGGGGUGAAGUCGUAACAAGGUAUC
rnacentral:rRNA from 1 species